rnacentral:rRNA from 1 species
GUUUCCGUAGGUGAACCUGCGGAAGGAUCAUUAUCGAAACCCGAACGUCCGAGAGGGGGAAACCCCCCCUUCCGGGCUUUCGAACCCUUUCAACACCCUUGUGCACUCGCUGUAGGUCCCUCGGGAUCUACGUCUCCCUUCGAACUCGCAUGUCUACAGAAUGUAUGCCUCGUGUCUCGGCCUCGACCCCCAGGGUCCCGCGUCGAAGACCGUGAAAUCAAUACAACUUUCAGCAACGGAUCUCUUGGCUCUCGCAUCGAUGAAGAACGCAGCGAAUCGCGAUAAGUAAUGUGAAUUGCAGAUUUUCCGUGAAUCAUCGAAUCUUUGAACGCACCUUGCGCUCCUCGGUAUUCCGAGGAGCAUGCCUGUUCGAGUGUCAUCGAAAUCUCGAAUCGAAGCUUGGACCUGGUCCGAGCUUCGUUCGGACAGUGGGAGUCUGCGGGCGAGCCUCGCUACGUCCGCUCUCCUCAAAAGCAUUAGCCGUGGACGCCAGCCUUGCAUGGCACGGCCUCUUCGACGUCGUAAUGAUCGUCGCGGGCUGGAAGUGCGAGGCGGGGACCGACCACGCUUCCCUAGACUUGCGAGCCCGUUCUCCUCGGGGAACGGCCGCGCCCCCAUCGAUGCUUGACCUCGAAUCAGGUAGGACUACCCGCCGAACUUAAGCAUAUCAAUAAGCGGAGGAAAAGAAACUAACGAGGAUUCCCCUAGUAACUGCGAGUGAAGCGGGAAGAGCUCAAAUUUCGGAAUCUGGCGGCCAAG